GACGAACGCUGGCGGCGUGCUUAACACAUGCAAGUCGAACGGAAAGGCCCUGCUUUUGUGGGGUGCUCGAGUGGCGAACGGGUGAGUAACACGUGAGUAACCUGCCCUUGACUUUGGGAUAACUUCAGGAAACUGGGGCUAAUACCGGAUAGGAGCUCCUGCUGCAUGGUGGGGGUUGGAAAGUUUCGGCGGUUGGGGAUGGACUCGCGGCUUAUCAGCUUGUUGGUGGGGUAGUGGCUUACCAAGGCUUUGACGGGUAGCCGGCCUGAGAGGGUGACCGGCCACACUGGGACUGAGAUACGGCCCAGACUGCUACGGGAGGCAGCAGUGGGGAAUAUUGCACAAUGGGCGGAAGCCUGAUGCAGCAACGCCGCGUGCGGGAUGACGGCCUUCGGGUUGUAAACCGCUUUCGCCUGUGACGAAGCGUGAGUGACGGUAAUGGGUAAAGAAGCACCGGCUAACUACGUG
rnacentral:rRNA from 1 species